rnacentral:hammerhead_ribozyme from 1 species
AUUCAGAUGACGAGCUCCAGAUAGGACGAAACGCGCGUUCUGGAU